rnacentral:lncRNA from 1 species
CACUCCUCCUCCCAUGGUCGUAGUCCCGCACUCCUCUCUCGUCCGCGCGCCCGGUCGCCGGCCUCCUCCCUCCUCGGCGCGCCCCGGCCCCAGUCUCCUCCCUCCUCCGCCCACGGCCUCGAGACUGCCGGAUCCGGCCCCAGCCUCCUUCGUCCUCCGUCCGCAGCCUGGAGGCCGCCGGAUCCGGCCCCGCCAUGCACCGGCCUCCUCCAUCCUCCGCCCACGACAUGGAGGCCGCAGGAUCCGUCCGCGGCGGAUCCGGACGCCCUGACGCCACCGGCCUCGAUCUGGCCGACCUGAGGUAUGGGCUUCUUUUCUCCUCUCCGGUUCUCUCUCUUCUUUUCUCUCUCUGGUUCUCUCUCUCUUCUUCCCGUGCUGCAGAGCUGGCCAUCCUUGGCCGCCUCUCUCCCCGCCGCAGGUGCUCCCUCCCUCUCUCGAUCUGUUUUCUCUAUCUCUCUCUCUCUAUCCCGGUUUCUCUAACUACUCUCCUGUAGAUGGCCAUGGAGGUGAGGAGUUCGGCACCUCCUCCGCCGAGGAGACCGACCUGGAGCCACUGCAGAUAGCCUACUUUUUUGAAUUUGGUUCUUCCUAAUUUUUUUGAGAGGUGGUUCUCUGUAAUUAGCGUUGAUCAUCAUGUGAAAUUUCAGGCCCGUGGCCUUCCUUUUGUUUUAAAUCUUCAAAUCGGUAUCAUUGUUUGUGUGCUUGGAUUCACGAUUAAAUCGAGAUCUCAAAAAUGUGAAAAAUCAGGUUGAUGGAAGUAAACAAUGUAAGUCCUGAUGAUGUUACUGUAGCAAGCGCUCUUGAUGCUCAUGCUUCGCUCUUGCUGCUUGUGCUUCGUUAGGGCGAUUAGAUGUUGGCAUCAAGUUGCAUGAGCUUGCCAGAAGUAAGGAAUUCAUCAGAUACAUCGUGGUUGCAAACGCGCUCCUCCUGCUCUGCUUCAGUCCGUGUGGUGAUAUGUGGUUGUGUCUAUGUAUCUUGCUAUGUAGAGGUUGGGGUUUAGUCUUAUGUGGAUUAUCCACUUGAUAUGACAACAAGUUUAAUCAUAAACUCUGUGUGAUGAUUGAUUAAUACUCAUUGUUCCGUUCAUUUUGACUGAA